GGUUCUUUGAUGUAAUGGUUAGCACUCUGGACUUUAAAUCCAGUUAUCUGAGUUCAAGUCUCAAAUAGGACCA
rnacentral:tRNA from 1 species